rnacentral:rRNA from 1 species
UGCAAGUUCGAACGGGUGAAAGCCAAGCUUGCUUGGUGGAUCAGUGGCGAACGGGUGAGUAACACGUGAGCAACCUGCCCUGGACUCUGGGAUAAGCGCUGGAAACGGCGUCUAAUACUGGAUAUGAGCUCUUACCGCAUGGUGGGGGUUGGAAAGAUUUUUUGGUCUGGGAUGGGCUCGCGGCCUAUCAGCUUGUUGGUGAGGUAAUGGCUCACCAAGGCGUCGACGGGUAGCCGGCCUGAGAGGGUGACCGGCCACACUGGGACUGAGACACGGCCCAGACUCCUACGGGAGGCAGCAGUGGGGAAUAUUGCACAAUGGGCGAAAGCCUGAUGCAGCAACGCCGCGUGAGGGAUGACGGCCUUCGGGUUGUAAACCUCUUUUAGCAGGGAAGAAGCGAAAGUGACGGUACCUGCAGAAAAAGCGCCGGCUAACUACGUGCCAGCAGCCGCGGUAAUACGUAGGGCGCAAGCGUUAUCCGGAAUUAUUGGGCGUAAAGAGCUCGUAGGCGGUUUGUCGCGUCUGCUGUGAAAUCCCGAGGCUCAACCUCGGGCCUGCAGUGGGUACGGGCAGACUAGAGUGCGGUAGGGGAGAUUGGAAUUCCUGGUGUAGCGGUGGAAUGCGCAGAUAUCAGGAGGAACACCGAUGGCGAAGGCAGAUCUCUGGGCCGUAACUGACGCUGAGGAGCGAAAGGGUGGGGAGCAAACAGGCUUAGAUACCCUGGUAGUCCACCCCGUAAACGUUGGGAACUAGUUGUGGGGACCAUUCCACGGUUUCCGUGACGCAGCUAACGCAUUAAGUUCCCCGCCUGGGGAGUAC